UGCAGUCGACGAGAUCCAGAGAAUCAAUUCUUCGGAAGAGAAACUCUGGAGGACAGUGGCGGGAGGGUGAGUAUCGCGUGGGUAAUCUGCCCUUGAGUUGGGUAUAGCCUUCCGAAAGGAGGGGUAAUACCGAAUACGGUCGUGCCGCGCGUGCGGCACUGUCUAAAGGUGGGGAUCCUUCGGGACCUGCCGCUCGAGGAUGAGCCCGCGUCCCAUCAGCUUGUUGGUGAGGUAACGGCUCACCAAGGCUUAGACGGGUAGCUGGUCUGAGAGGACGGUCAGCCACACUGGGACUGAGACACUGCCCAGACUCCUACGGGAGGCUGCAGUCGAGAAUCAUUCGCAAUGCACGAAAGUGCGACGAUGCGACGCCGCGUGCAGGAUGACGGCCUUCGGGUUGUAAACUGCUGUCAUGGGGGAACAAUGAGCGAGGCGCGAAUACCGCCACGCUGUGAUGGUACCCCAAGAGGAAGCCACGGCUAACUCUGUGCCAGCAGCCGCGGUAAUACG
rnacentral:rRNA from 1 species